rnacentral:lncRNA from 1 species
CUCCUGUGUUAGCCUCCUCUCACGCCUCAAGCCGUGUAUCACCCACAGGCAGGGACUUCCCACAUGGGCCUUGGAAAGAACUGCAGCAGCUGGAGAGGAUGACAGCAACUGUACUCGGCUGCCCCUCUCCUGUUCACCCAAACCAAGAGGCAGAGCGGUGUUUUCUUUUCCAUGUUUGAUUGGGAGGCGGCCAUGAUAUGGAGAAGGGGUACAGCACUUCAGAAAGAUGAGCUCGCUUUUUUAAAAAUUAAGCAGAAAACAGUUUCAUGAGGACAUCACAUCGCAGGAAAGUGCCUGGAACAAGGACACUCACCUGCCUGGGGGGACACCAGGGCCAGCACCCCAAGGACCCAGAUGCGCAGUCAUGCGUUCUCCUAAUACAAAAAUGCCCACAGAGGCUGGAGAUGGAAACAUUUCAGGAACAGCUAAUUGUGAGAGUUGUAUAG